rnacentral:misc_RNA from 1 species
GUUAUCUCUUGGUCAUGGACAGUAUUUUGAAGCAUUGCCAGCGGAUAUGAUGGCGGUUAUUACUAUGCAUAAGAUGAUGGGAUUGUUAAUGACUAGUAACGNNNNNNNNGGUGGUUCAAGCUGCCUGUGCAGUAGGUGAAGCAAUUGAGCAUGAGGCUAGGAUACACAGGUUAUUGGAGAGGACAAAGAAAAAGAAGAGCACAAAAGAGAAGGUACCUGACGGUGAAUCAGAUCCUGUGAUCACUGAAGAAGAGAAACUUGCUAAAGAACAGGAGAGAGAAACUGAGGAAAAAAGUCACUAAACUGAUGAAAAAGCAAAAGGUUCAGCAACUAAGGGGAUUAGUGAAGGACCAUGAUGAUUCACUGCCAUGGGGUCAAGAAGCACAUGUUAAGGUUGGCUGCCGCUUGAUUCAAUUGUUAAUUGAAACAGCCUAUAUACAACCUCCAAUUGAUCAAUUAGGAGAUGGUCUACCUGAUAUUCGCCCUGCAUUUAUGCAUACACUUAAAAAUGUCGUAAAAGACACACAGAAAACCAGCAGGAGAUACGGUGUUAUUGAGUGUGAUCCACUUGUUCGUAGAGGGCUUGAGAAAUCUGCUAGGCACAUGGUCAUUCCUUACAUGCCAAUGUUGGUGCCUCCUUUAAACUGGACAGGGUAUGACCAGGGCGCAUACUUAUUUUUGCCAUCCUAUUUUAUGCGAACCCAUGGAGCAAGACAACAACG